UACGUAGGGGGCAAGCGUUGUCCGGAUUUAUUGGGCGUAAAGAGCGUGUAGGUGGCCAUACAGGUCCGUUGUGAAAACUGGAGGCUUAACCUCCAGACGUCGAUGGAAACCGUAUGGCUAGAGUCCGGAAGAGGAGAGUGGAAUUCCUGGUGUAGCGGUGAAAUGCGCAGAUAUCAGGAAGAACACCCGUGGCGAAGGCGGCUCUCUGGGACGGUACUGACGCUGAGACGCGAAAGCGUGGGGAGCGAACAGG
rnacentral:rRNA from 1 species